rnacentral:rRNA from 1 species
UGAGGAAUCUUGCGCAAUGGGGGCAACCCUGACGCAGCAACGCCGCGUGAGUGAGGAAGGUCUUCGGAUCGUAAAGCUCUGUCAGUUGGGAAGAAAUGUCUGAUGGUUAAUACCUUUCAGACUUGACGGUACCAACAGAGGAAGCACCGGCUAACUCCGUGCCAGCAGCCGCGGUAAUACGGGGGGUGCAAGCGUUGUUCGGAAUUAUUGGGCGUAAAGAGCGUGUAGGCGGCCUGAUGUGUCAGAUGUGAAAGCCCUGGGCUUAACCCAGGAAGUGCAUUUGAAACUGUCAGGCUUGAGUAGGGGAGAGGGAAGUGGAAUUCCUGGUGUAGAGGUGAAAUUCGUAGAUAUCAGGAGGAACACCGGUGGCGAAGGCGACUUCCUGGCCCUAUACUGACGCUGAGACGCGAGAGCGUGGGUAGCAAACA